rnacentral:tRNA from 1 species
GGAAUAUAACUCAGUUGGUAGAGUGUUUGCCUCGCACUUACAAGACCCUGGGUUCAAUCCUCAGCACCA